GAUGAACGCUGGCGGCGUGCUUAACACAUGCAAGUCGAACGGAAAGACCCUGCUAUUUUGGGAUGCUUGAGUGGCGAACGGGUGAGUAACACGUGAGUAACCUGCCCUUGACUUUGGGUUAACUUAAGGAAACUGGGGCUAACACCCGAUAGGAGCUUCUGCUGCAUGGAGGGGGUUGGAAAGUUGCGGCGGGUGGGGAUGGACUCGCGGCUUAUCAGCUUGGUGGUGGGGUAGUGGCUUACCAAGGCAUUGACGGGUAGUCGGCCUGAGAGGGGGCACAGGGACCAGGGGACUGAGGGAGGGAGCAGACGGGAACGGGGGACAACGGUGGGGAGUAUGACACAGUAGGGGGGCGCGUGAUAAGGAGGCGCCGGGUGCGUAAUGACCUCCUGCGGGGUGUGAACCGCUUCCGCCUAAGACGAGGCGUUAGUGACGGUACUGGAUGAAGAAGCACCGGCUAACUACGUG
rnacentral:rRNA from 1 species